CGUAAGCGCAGCGCAGGCGGUUUCUUAAGUCUGAUGUGAAAGCCCCCGGCUCAACCGGGGAGGGUCAUUGGAAACUGGGAGACUUGAGUGCAGAAGAGGAGAGUGGAAUUCCAUGUGUAGCGGUGAAAUGCGUAGAUAUAUGGAGGAACACCAGUGGCGAAGGCGGCUCUCUGGUCUGUAACUGACGCUGAGGCUCGAAAGCGUGGGGAGCGAACAGGAUUAGAUA
rnacentral:rRNA from 1 species